rnacentral:sRNA from 1 species
CUGUUCUAAGAGGAGGGGUCCCUCUGGGCGUUUCUCAGGAGGGUGACCUGGGCCAAGAGCAACUCCAGGGCUUGUGGGCUUC